rnacentral:lncRNA from 1 species
GAACAUUCCAGGCUCUGUGAACUAAGUGACUGAAGCUGAUUGACACAGGUCAAGGGGACUUCAAGGAAGAAAGCCAGCCUUAGACUGACAUCAGAGAACCAAACUCCGGUGUCUAAGCUCAAGUAAUACAAGUAAUUGGGAAGACACUGGCUCAGAGCCUGUCUCUGGUGACCACUGAAUUGUCCAGCACCUGAGGUCCCUGGAGCCCACGGACUGAGCCCAUCUGGGCUAAAAGAGGUCCCAUACAUCCUUCUCAAAGGCCUAUAUAAAUGCCAAGCAGAGUUAUAGCAGGAGGUUAGAAUCCUGAGAACUGUUUGGAAUAAGGAAUCCAAAUAUUGUCUUCCAGCUUCACCUUGUCACGACAGUCCUCGCCAGGGACAGCUGAGGAUGGAAACCAGCCCUGCACACUGCUGGCUCUGGAGGCCUGGUAGAUUAACAGGCACCGGACUUACAAUUGGUCUCUUAAGCCUUUCAACUCUUUAGAAGCAAAGGGGAAGGCAUGGAGGGUGCCAUGAAAUCAAAGACAUUGUUCGUAAGCUCCUGGAUCUUAUCAGUGUGAGGAAGUGUUCAAAAAAGUUCUGUCCCCCCUAGAGACAAAAAGACCUCUUCUCUGCCUCCCAGCUCCCAUGGCGCCUCUCUCGAUACGUGGCCUCUUCUGAUACUUACCUCAGCUUGGACACAGCUCUCUGAAGAUCAUCUACAUCUCCAUUUAUGCCGUGUGCACGCAGUACCAACAGAGGUCAGAGGAGGGUGUCGGAUCCCCUGGAACUGGAGUCACAGAUUCUUCCUUGCGUGGAUGAAACAGUCCCAACGAACACUUUAAAAAGACAAAUGUUCCCGACAGCACUGGUUGAAUUCAAAACUCGGCAGAUCCAUGUUCUUAUCCUUAGACAAGAGAGGGGCCAUAACAAGAUGGAAUGACGGAACAGACGUGAGAGAUGAUGGUACAGUGACUCGGGUAACCCCAGAAAAGGGACAGCUCUUCUACAGCUCAGUGGGGACAGGGACAAAAAGAAACAAUUUCAUUUCAGUCCACCCAGAGGGUCUGCACUUCUCGGAGCCAGAAGGUGGAGAAGAGUAGGGAUGGAGGAAGUUCGAAGUUUUAGGAGUCUGCUCUUGGGUCCCUAGGCAUGAGGACAAGCUUUUCCUGUACUCAAUGCUCAUCUCUCAGUUGUGCCCACAUUGGUACACAUUACUUGCUUUCAACUGCUGCUGCUGCUGUUUCCUAAUUCAAUAAAGAUAUGGCUGGCUCAGCAGAGAGCUGUCAUCCA